rnacentral:snRNA from 1 species
AUCGUUUCUUGGCCUUUUGGCUAAGAUCAAGUGUAGAACUGUUCUACCACCAGUCCAUAUAAUAAAUGAAUUGUGGCAAGGUGGCACACACCUGUAAUCUUA